CUUGUGAUCCACACACCUUGGUCUCCUGAAGUGCUGGGAUUACAGAUGUGAGCCACUGCGCCUGGCCAGAAACCUUAAUUUAAACCACACCCUAAUGAUUUCAAAGGACUGCUUGUUUGAGUUCCAUUGUAUGGUUUUGUAGAAAUUAAUUUUCUUACUGAUAUUCAGAGACCAAAGAUUAAAAAAAAA